rnacentral:rRNA from 1 species
CCGGCACGGGUGAGUAACACGUAUCCAACCUGCCGUCUACUCUUGGCCAGCCUUCUGAAAGGAAGAUUAAUCCAGGAUGGCAUCAUGAGUUCACAUGUCCGCAUGAUUAAAGGUAUUUUCCGGUAGACGAUGAGGAUGCGUUCCAUUAGAUAGUAGGCGGGGUAACGGCCCACCUAGUCAACGACGGAUAGGGGUUCUGAGAGGAAGGUCCCCCACAUUGGAACUGAGACACGGUCCAA